ensembl:miRNA mir150 microRNA mir-150
GUGUUCUCAGGAGCCGGACGCAUUUCUGCAGAUCUUCCUCCAAAGGUCUCGGUCCGGUCACUCCCAAUCCUUGUACCAGUGUCCUGCUAUGGUGGCGCUGGACAGGUUU